UAUCUCUGUAGAGUCUGCAUAUCAAUAAGCGGAGGAAAAGAAACUAACAUAGGAUUCCCUUAGUAACGGCGAGUGAAGCGGGAAGAGCUCAAAUUUGAAAUCUUCAAGGUUCUACCUUGACGAAUUGUAGUUUAAAGAAGUGUUUUCUGUUAGGAGUUUGAGUAGCAAAAGUUCCUUUGGAAUAGGGACAUCAUAGAGGGUGAGAAUCCCGUAUUUGACCAUUACUUUCCAGCGUUGUGAUACACUUUCAAAGAGUCGGAUUGUUUGGGAAUGCAGUCCAAAAUGGGUGGUAAAUUUCAUCUAAAGCUAAAUACUGGCGAGAGACCGAUAGCGAACAAGUACCGUGAGGGAAAGAUGAAAAGAACUUUGAAAAGAGAGUUAAACAGUACGUGAAAUUGUCAAAAGGGAAGCGUUUGACACCAGUGUUGUUUUCUCGAAAAUCAAUUAAAAAUGGCUUGAUUUUGUGUUGUAUUGACCUUAAAAGCUUUCUUCACUUUUUUCAUGUCUUUUUUAAUGCACUUUUCGUUUAACAAGUCAACAUCAGUUUCUUUUGUUGUAAAAGAGGUCAUUGGAAGGUGGCUUUCACUUUCGGAUGAAAGUGUUUAUAGCCUUUGGCCUCUGCAAUCGGAGAGAUUGAGGUCUGCAGCGUAGAUCCUUCGGGGUUAGAUACAGUUAGAUGCUAAGUUAUAGCCUUUUCUAUAGACAACUUGUUGACUAUAAUUCAUCAUGUAGCUUACUCGCUUAUGCUAUUUUACCUACGCUUAGGAUGUUGAAGAUGUAGCACAUCAU
rnacentral:rRNA from 1 species